rnacentral:rRNA from 1 species
GGCUGCAACUCGCCUACACGAAGUUGGAAUUGCAGUAAUCGUGGAUCAGCAUGCCACGGUGAAUACGUUCCCGGGUCCUUGUACACACCGCCCGUCACACCAUGGGAGUUGGAAAUGCCCGAAGUCAGUGGCCCAACCGGAAGGGGGGAGCUGCCGAAGGCAGGUUCGAUGACUGGGGUGAAGUCGUAACAAGGUAGC